rnacentral:lncRNA from 1 species
GUUAGUAUUUAUUAAAGUUUUGCAAUCCCAGGAAGUUUUUCACAUCACUCUGCCCUUUAAAUACCUUUGUUUACCACUUAGAAUGUGCCAGGCAAUUGGCAUUAAUUCACCGAAUCCUUACAAUUUUUUUUUUUCGCGCUCCUGGCACAGAACAUGUCAUCCAAGUUAGGCAUCAUCGUCGCCUGCUCUUGGUGAAGUUUUCUUUUGCGUACUGCGGAGAGAUGCGCUCAUUACCAGCUGGCGGUGGAGUCGCUGAAACGCAAAUGGAUUUGAGACUGAGCGACUCCCAUCUCUAUGGUUGGUAUGUGACCCAUCUAUCCUCUGGAGGACUCAGCAAGGACUACCAGUCACCAGACAACUUUACGCGCACGUGGUCGCAAGGUGAACUUGCUAUUGGUUAAUGGCAGUAAAGCCCGCCCAUCAGCGCUGGUCUGCUCCUUUAAAAGAACGCCAUCGACGCUCCCCUGUCUUUCAGCGCCUGCAGGUUCCGGGAGCUCCCAGCCGAGGACGUCGGAUGUCAUCGUCCUUGCUGCUUUGCCACCCCAUUCCCGUCAAUAAAGUGGUUUGAACCCAACCCUGGUGUCGGUGUGUGUCGUUGGCGACGCGCUGUCUUUGAGCCCCCGCCGAGCUUCCUCGUGGCGCCGGGGGUCAAUCUGCAGCGCUAGAGCAUGUGCUUGCGCAUAACUGGGGCCGCCUGGCCUCCCGCGGGCGGCCUUUUUAACCGCGAGCGACAAGAAGUAACCUGACUGUCCGGCUGCUAGGCUGGGCAAUUUUCCAGCUGUUUUGCCACGACAGGCCUCAAUCCGUAAUACCAAGGCUGGAAUGGCGUGUUAGGGGGGCGGUGGCUGACGGGGAUACGCGGACUCUUGAUGCGUAAGGAGUGCCCCUCUGCUCCCAUACGUUCCCCAGCCCAGCCUUCCCUGAGUGUAUCGCGCGCGCUGUGCCUUCGCCGUGAGUUCGACAUAAGUCCCAGGCUGUCGCGUCUGCCAUCAGACGCGCAGAUUUAGUUGAAGGCAGCGUGGAAUGGCGUCUGCAGGGCUGUUGUGUACUUGACAUAAACAGAUUCGGUGUGGAACUGCAUUGAGUUAACUCCUGACUAAAGGGUAAUCGACCUGUUUACAAAUAACCAUGCAGGAGUACUGACAAGCAUGGGACUAAAGCUUUGGGCAGGUUAAUCUGUCACUCCUAAACAGUUCAAAAUUAUAGGGCGGUUGUGAAGGUGAAUUAGAUUUUAUAUAUGGUUGGGGACAACAUAGACACCUAGUUACACAGUCCAGAUUCAGUGAUUGGUAAAAGAUCUUCCACAAGGGCUCCAGUGAAAGGUGCAUCAGUUCUGAGUACAGGGCAGCAAUGGUGGGCAAGGAUGCACGUAUGCGUUCACUACAUGGACAUUCGAUGAAUGAAGGUGUCCCGAAUUAACAUUAUACUAGACAAUGAAGGGUGUAAACUGCAGCCCAGGAGCACCACUGCCCUACCCCCUCAGUUACGAACUUUCACUGGAUUCUUUAAAUGUGGGCUGAAGAUAAUGGCACAUAGUUUGAAGGAUGUAGUGAG